rnacentral:lncRNA from 13 species
CUCUAUACCAGGCGGUGUCAGAGGAAGGCCCUAAAAUGUGUUAAAGACUCCAGCCACCCUAGUCAUAGACUGUUCUCUCUGCUACCACACAGCAAGCGGUACCGGAGCGCCAAGUCUAGGUCCAAGAGUCUUCUAAACAGCUUUUACCCCUAAGCCAUAAGACUCCUGAACAUCUAAUCAAAUGGCCACCCAGACUAUUUGCAUUGCCACCACCCCUCUUUUAUACCGCUGCUACUCUCUGUUGUUAUCAUCUACAGUAUAUAUAGUCAUUUUAAUAACUCGCCCUACAUGUACAUAUUACCUCAACUAACCGGUGUCCCCGCACAUGGACUCUCUACUCCCCUGUAUAUAGUCUCGCUAUUGUUAUUUACUGCUGCUCUUUAAUUCAAUUAUACUUUUAUUUGUUAUUGUUAUUCGUAUCAAACACCUGCAUUUUGUGACUAAUAAAAUGUGAUCUGAUUUGAAUUUCAGGAUCUGAAUGGUAGUUUGAUCAUAGCACUCCUCUCACAGCUAUACAAGUAUUCCCUGAAUUUACUCAGUUUGUUUGGAAUGGGAAGUAUACCCAGCAUACCUCCAGCAGAAGGAUUGGCCUGCUAGAGUUGUAAUGCGUUUGUAGCCUACAUUGUGUGUGACUUAUAUAUAACAUUUGCUAACAUGAGUACACAUUGCAUACAAUGGUCCUAGGCUACACUAAUGGUCACGUUCCAAGCCCUAUGCCUGUAAAGUGAUUUGAACGCCAAUCGGCUGCACUCCGGUACUGUACCUGCACCACGGUUUGGAAGAGAACCAUAAACCAACCACUGAAUUAAAUUGUAAUGACGGUCCUAGACACAUAUGUACUAACACAAAUUGUAGCUGGACUGGCUUCUUGAAAGACGUUGUAUUUGAUUGCCCGCUUGAUAAUGACAAGUUUCAAUGUUCAGUGGAGACGGAUGAAGUAAAGAAAAACCAGGAAGAACAACAAACAGUACCAGUGGCACCGAUAUGCAAAGACAAUAGAAGCUGUGGAUUCCCUACAACAUUUGUCGGUGAAAGUGUAAGAUGCACCAUACAUAUGCAAACACAACUACCAGCAACAUCAAGAGAACCAGACAAUCUGAAGAAUGAAACAGAGCCAAAACACAAUAUACCCUGGUGGAUUUGGUUAAUCAUUUGCCUUUGCCUUUGGCAUUAGCGUUGGCAUUGGUGUUGGGAUUUGGAUUAAUCGAUGUCAGAAGAAAAAGGAUUCAUUUGAGACACGUGAUGAGGCGUAUAUAGAAGUGGAUGGAAUGGUAUAAAAAACGAAUGAGGUGGUAUUAUUGCAGGGGUUAACCUAUGGGUGCACUAGUAUGAGCCAUCAUCAGCCAGCAGGCUAUUUUAAUACUAAUCUCAUUGGGGUAAAUUAAUAAAAUGUUUUAAAAGAUAAAUCAAAUCUGCAUGGAUUAGUGUUUGCCAUCAUGUGUGAUGCAGUGAUAAAACACCUGAAAGAAUGCCUACAUUAACAUACAGUACCGGUCAAAAGUUUGGAGACACCUACUCAUUCCAGGGUUUUUCUUAAUCUUUUACUAUUUUAUACAUUGUAGAGUAAUAGUAAAGAAGACAUAAAAACUAUGAAAUAACACAUAUGGAAUCAUGUAGUAACCAAAAAAAGUGUUAAACAAAUCCAAAGAUUUGAAAUUCUUCAAAGUAGCCACCCUUUGCCUUGAUGACAGCUUGGCACGCUCUUGGCAUUCUCUCAACCAGCUUCAUGAGGAAUGCUUGAAGAAGUUCCCACAUAUGCUGAGCAGUUGUUGGCUGCUUUGCCUCCACUCUGCGGUCCAACUCAUCCCAAACAAUCUCAAUUGGGUUGAGUUCGGGUGAUUGUGGAGGACAGGUCAUCUGAUGCAGCACUCCAUCACUCUCCUUGGUCAAAUAGACCUUACACAGCUUGGAGGUGUGUUUUGGGUCAUUGUCCUGUUGAAAACAAAUGAUAGUCCCACUAACCUUACAGUGAAAUGCUUACUUACAGGCCCCUAACCAACAAUGCAGUUUAAAAAAUAUGAAUAAGAAUAAGAAAUAAAUGUAACAAGUAGCUAAAGAGCAGCAGUAAAAUAACAAUAGCAAGACUAUAUACAGGGGGUACCGGUACAGAGUCAAUGUGCACUGGUUAGUUGAGGUAAUAUGUACAUGUAGGUAGAGUUAUUAAAGUGACUAUACAUAGAUAAUAACAGAGUAGCAACGGCAUAAUAGGGGGGG